AUUGAACGCUGGCGGCAGGCCUAACACAUGCAAGUCGAGCGAGCGGCGGACGGGGGAGUAAUGUAUGGGGACUGCCCGAUAGAGGGGGAUAACUACUGGAAACGGUGGCUAAUACCGCAUACUAUCGGAUAACCCAUAUGGGAUUAGCGAGUAGGUGGGGUAACGGCACCCCUAGGCGACGGUCCCUAGCUGGUCUGAGAGGAUGAUCGGCCACACUGGGACUGAGACACGGCCCAGACUCCUACGGAGGCAGCAGUGGGGAAUAUUGGACAAUGGGCGCAAGCCUGAUGCAGCCAUGCCGCGUGUAUGAAGAAGGCCUUCGGGUGGUAAAGUACUUUCUGUCGGGAGGCGUUAGCGACAGAGGAAGCACCGGCUAACUCCGUGCCAGCCGCCGCGGUAAUUC
rnacentral:rRNA from 1 species